UUCCGGUUGAUCCUGCCGGAGUCGGCUGCUAUUGGGGUUGUACUAAGUCAUGCAAGUUAACGCAUCGCCUAUGUUGAUGCGUAGCGUAAAGCUCAGUAACGCGUAGACAAUCUAUCCUAAGAUCAGGGAAAAGCUCGGCAAACUGAGUCUAAACCCAGAUAAUCGCCUUAUGUUGGAAUGAUUAGGCGGUAAAAGGAGUAGGAGCAUGGUCCUACACGUCUUAGGUUGAGUCUGCGUUCCAUUAGGCUGUUGGUGGGGUAACGGCCCACCAAACCGAGGAUGGAUACGGGUCAUUAGCGUGAUAACCCGGAGUUGGAUUCUGAGACAAUAAUCCAGGGGCUAUGGCUUGCAGCAGGCGAGAAAACUGGACAAUGCACGAAAGUGUGAUCCGGCAAUUCCCUGUCCCAAAGCGCAAGCUUUGGGUUUUGUUGACUGUGACUAGCUNGACGAAUAAGGAGAGGGCAAGAACGGUGCCAGCCGCCGCGGUAAAACCGUCUCUUUGAGUGGCCGACGUGUUUAUUGGGCCUAAAGCGUCCGUAGCGGGACUAGUCAGUCCCACAUUAAAGACGGCAACUUAAUUGUCUGAAGUGUGUGGGAAACUGCUAGUCUUGGCAAUGGGAGAGGUAAGCCGUACGGCAGGGGUAAGGGUGAAAUCUUAUAAUCCCUGUCGGACGACCGAUGGCGAAGGCAGCUUACUGGAACAUGUGCGACGCUAUGGGACGAAAGCCAGGGGAGUGAGUCGGAUUAGAUACCCGAGUAAUCCUGGCUGUAAACGAUGCGGAUUAAGUGUUGGGUGGUCAAAAGACCAUUCAGUGCCGAAGCGAGGCGUUUAAAUCCGCCGCCUGGGAAGUACGAGCGCAAG
rnacentral:rRNA from 1 species